GUUGGACAGCAGAAACAGCAGGUUGAAGAAGCUCUAAUCAGGAACUGCAGAGCUACUAAUUAGGGGCCAGCUAUGCUACAGGGAUUUCCCAAAAGCCCUGCUAAACAUCUAACAGAGAGGCUUUAACCCACACACCAAGCCAGUGCACUUUACACGUAUUCUGGGAGCUGCUAAACAAAGCAAGUGAACCACCAAGCACUUUGUCGUACUAUAAUUUCACUAUAUUUCAAGACUCUACGUUGUUAUUUUCAAGGUGAUUGCAAGAAGAAGUACAAAAUUGGGGCCUGUAAAAAAAAAAAAAAGGUAAGAGAAAUUAAUCAAAACCAUAAUUCAUUCUGCUGUCAAAAUCUCCUCCUGCUGCUUU